ACUUAUUCUUUUGCAAGAAUAAAUAUCAGAAUGGAGGAAAGCUUGACACCUAGCCUUAUCAUUGCUCUCAAAAUUAAAGUUACCGUGUAAUUCAUGUUCCUCCAGCAAGUACCUAGCCUUGUUGUCGGCUAUUCUAGGCAUUCUCUUCUUUUUUUUUCUUUUUCAGAUGAGAAACAGGUUUUACCUCCUCAUUGCUGCUGUCCUCUGCUGCCUGUGUUGGACCGUCGUGUCUUUCCCACUGUGGUUGGAGGUUGUGUCCUCGCUAUUGCUUUCAGUAGAGGCCUCCAAGAUCAAUGUGGUAGUCUUUGGUUGCUUUUUUCGAUCCUAUGGUUAUUUCAGAAUUUCUAGCUUGACCUCUCAUUCAUCAUCCUCAUAGAUGGGGGUUUUACCUUUCAUCUGCGAGCGAGUGGCUCUCUUCAUUGUGACUAGAGAAGAAAUUGCCGCUAGUGUCGAGGUUGCUAUUUGCGAUGGUACCGUCGGUGUUUUCGUCGCUUUUCCAGUGGGCUACUUUUCUGUUGAUGGUGUCGCCACAAGGUCCGACGAAUCUUGGCAGCAUCAUGUGGAUGAGGGCGCAGUAGCCAUCAUCGCGUCAGAGCUGUCUUUGAUGCAUUGGUGCUUCCCCAUUGUCGUUCUUGCAAAAGAGAGAGAGAGAGAGAGAGAGAGAGAGAA
rnacentral:lncRNA from 1 species